rnacentral:rRNA from 1 species
CAGUAGCCGCGGGAAUACAGAGGGUGCAAGCGUUAAUCGGAAUUACUGGGCGUAAAGUGCGCGUAGGUGGUUUGUUAAGUUGGAUGUGAAAUCCCCGGGCUCAACCUGGGAACUGCAUCCAAAACUGGCAAGCUAGAGUAUGGUAGAGGGUGGUGGAAUUUCCUGUGUAGCGGUGAAAUGCGUAGAUAUAGGAAGGAACACCAGUGGCGAAGGCGACCACCUGGACUGAUACUGACACUGAGGUGCGAAAGCGUGGGGAGCAAACAGGAUUAGAUACCCGAGUAGUCCCUGUCUCUUAUAC